GUGCUCGCUUUGACAGCACAUAUACUAAAAUUGGAAUGACACAGAGAAGAUUAGCAUGGCCCCUGCACAGGAUGACAUGCAAAAAAUAAAUAGAUAAAAGAAAUAA